AGUGAACGCUGGCGGUAGGCCUAACACAUGCAAGUCGAACGGCAGCACAGUAAGAGCUUGCUCUUACUGGUGGCGAGUGGCGGACGGGUGAGGAAUACAUCGGAAUCUACUUUUUCGUGGGGGAUAACGUAGGGAAACUUACGCUAAUACCGCAUACGACCUACGGGUGAAAGCAGGGGAUCUUCGGACCUUGCGCGAUUCAAUGAGCCGAUGUCGGAUUAGUUAGUUGGUGGGGUAAAGGCGCACCAAGGCGACGAUCCGUAGCUGGUCUGAGAGGAUGAUCAGCCACACUGGAACUGAGACACGGUCCAGACUCCUACGGGAGGCAGCAGUGGGGAAUAUUAGACAAUGGGCGCAAGCCUGGUCCAGCCAUACCGCGUGGGUGAAGAAGGCCUUCGGGUUGUAAAGCUCUUUUGUUGGGAAAGAAAAGCAGCAGGUUAAUACCCCGCUGUUCUGACGGUACCCAAAGAAUAAGCACCGGCUAACUUCGUG
rnacentral:rRNA from 1 species